rnacentral:rRNA from 1 species
GGGUUGUGAGGUUAAGCGACUAAGCGUACACGGUGGAUGCCCUGGCAGUCAGAGGCGAUGAAGGACGUGCUAAUCUGCGAUAAGCGUCGGUAAGGUGAUAUGAACCGUUAUAACCGGCGAUUUCCGAAUGGGGAAACCCAGUGUGAUUCGUCACACUAUCAUUAACUGAAUCCAUAGGUUAAUGAGGCGAACCGGGGGAACUGAAACAUCUAAGUACCCCGAGGAAAAGAAAUCAACCGAGAUUCCCCCAGUAGCGGCGAGCGAACGGGGAGGAGCCCAGAGCCUGAAUCAGUGUGUGUGUUAGUGGAAGCGUCUGGAAAGGCGCGCGAUACAGGGUGACAGCCCCGUACACAAAAAUGCACAUGCUGUGAGCUCGAUGAGUAGGGCGGGACACGUGGUAUCCUGUCUGAAUAUGGGGGGACCAUCCUCCAAGGCUAAAUACUCCUGACUGACCGAUAGUGAACCAGUACCGUGAGGGAAAGGCGAAAAGAACCCCGGCGAGGGGAGUGAAAAAGAACCUGAAACCGUGUACGUACAAGCAGUGGGAGCACAGAGCAAUCUGUGUGACUGCGUACCUUUUGUAUAAUGGGUCAGCGACUUAUAUUCUGUAGCAAGGUUAACCGAAUAGGGGAGCCGAAGGGAAACCGAGUCUUAACUGGGCGUUAAGUUGCAGGGUAUAGACCCGAAACCCGGUGAUCUAGCCAUGGGCAGGUUGAAGGUUGGGUAACACUAACUGGAGGACCGAACCGACUAAUGUUGAAAAAUUAGCGGAUGACUUGUGGCUGGGGGUGAAAGGCCAAUCAAACCGGGAGAUAGCUGGUUCUCCCCGAAAGCUAUUUAGGUAGCGCCUCGUGAAUUCAUCUCCGGGGGUAGAGCACUGUUUCGGCAAGGGGGUCAUCCCGACUUACCAACCCGAUGCAAACUGCGAAUACCGGAGAAUGUUAUCACGGGAGACACACGGCGGGUGCUAACGUCCGUCGUGAAGAGGGAAACAACCCAGACCGCCAGCUAAGGUCCCAAAGUCAUGGUUAAGUGGGAAACGAUGUGGGAAGGCCCAGACAGCCAGGAUGUUGGCUUAGAAGCAGCCAUCAUUUAAAGAAAGCGUAAUAGCUCACUGGUCGAGUCGGCCUGCGCGGAAGAUGUAACGGGGCUAAACCAUGCACCGAAGCUGCGGCAGCGACGCUUAUGCGUUGUUGGGUAGGGGAGCGUUCUGUAAGCCUGUGAAGGUGUGCUGUGAGGCAUGCUGGAGGUAUCAGAAGUGCGAAUGCUGACAUAAGUAACGAUAAAGCGGGUGAAAAGCCCGCUCGCCGGAAGACCAAGGGUUCCUGUCCAACGUUAAUCGGGGCAGGGUGAGUCGACCCCUAAGGCGAGGCCGAAAGGCGUAGUCGAUGGGAAACAGGUUAAUAUUCCUGUACUUGGUGUUACUGCGAAGGGGGGACGGAGAAGGCUAUGUUGGCCGGGCGACGGUUGUCCCGGUUUAAGCGUGUAGGCUGGUUUUCCAGGCAAAUCCGGAAAAUCAAGGCUGAGGCGUGAUGACGAGGCACUACGGUGCUGAAGCAACAAAUGCCCUGCUUCCAGGAAAAGCCUCUAAGCAUCAGGUAACAUCAAAUCGUACCCCAAACCGACACAGGUGGUCAGGUAGAGAAUACCAAGGCGCUUGAGAGAACUCGGGUGAAGGAACUAGGCAAAAUGGUGCCGUAACUUCGGGAGAAGGCACGCUGAUAUGUAGGUGAAGCGACUUGCUCGUGGAGCUGAAAUCAGUCGAAGAUACCAGCUGGCUGCAACUGUUUAUUAAAAACACAGCACUGUGCAAACACGAAAGUGGACGUAUACGGUGUGACGCCUGCCCGGUGCCGGAAGGUUAAUUGAUGGGGUCAGCGCAAGCGAAGCUCUUGAUCGAAGCCCCGGUAAACGGCGGCCGUAACUAUAACGGUCCUAAGGUAGCGAAAUUCCUUGUCGGGUAAGUUCCGACCUGCACGAAUGGCGUAAUGAUGGCCAGGCUGUCUCCACCCGAGACUCAGUGAAAUUGAACUCGCUGUGAAGAUGCAGUGUACCCGCGGCAAGACGGAAAGACCCCGUGAACCUUUACUAUAGCUUGACACUGAACAUUGAGCCUUGAUGUGUAGGAUAGGUGGGAGGCUUAGAAGUGUGGACGCCAGUCUGCAUGGAGCCGACCUUGAAAUACCACCCUUUAAUGUUUGAUGUUCUAACGUUGACCCGUGAUCCGGGUUGCGGACAGUGUCUGGUGGGUAGUUUGACUGGGGCGGUCUCCUCCUAAAGAGUAACGGAGGAGCACGAAGGUUGGCUAAUCCUGGUCGGACAUCAGGAGGUUAGUGCAAUGGCAUAAGCCAGCUUGACUGCGAGCGUGACGGCGCGAGCAGGUGCGAAAGCAGGUCAUAGUGAUCCGGUGGUUCUGAAUGGAAGGGCCAUCGCUCAACGGAUAAAAGGUACUCCGGGGAUAACAGGCUGAUACCGCCCAAGAGUUCAUAUCGACGGCGGUGUUUGGCACCUCGAUGUCGGCUCAUCACAUCCUAGGGCUGAAGUAGGUCCCAAGGGUAUGGCUGUUCGCCAUUUAAAGUGGUACGCGAGCUGGGUUUAGAACGUCGUGAGACAGUUCGGUCCCUAUCUGCCGUGGGCGCUGGAGAACUGAGGGGGGCUGCUCCUAGUACGAGAGGACCGGAGUGGACGCAUCACUGGUGUUCGGGUUGUCAUGCCAAUGGCACUGCCCGGUAGCUAAAUGCGGAAGAGAUAAGUGCUGAAAGCAUCUAAGCACGAAACUUGCCCCGAGAUGAGUUCUCCCUGACUCCUUGAGAGUCCUGAAGGAACGUUGAAGACGACGACGUUGAUAGGCCGGGUGUGUAAGCGCAGCGAUGCGUUGAGCUAACCGGUACUAAUGAACCGUGAGGCUUAACCUUACAACGCCGAAG